AGCUGGUUGAAAUCGGGCCAAAUUGUAUAAAACCAAAGGCAUUUGGUCCCCUUCAACCAGCUGU
rnacentral:pre_miRNA from 1 species